rnacentral:rRNA from 1 species
GACGAACGCUGGCGGCGUGCUUAACACAUGCAAGUCGAACGAAGAGCGAUGGAAGCUUGCUUCUAUCAAUCUUAGUGGCGAACGGGUGAGUAACGCGUAAUCAACCUGCCCUUCAGAGGGGGACAACAGUUGGAAACGACUGCUAAUACCGCAUACGAUCUAAUCUCGGCAUCGAGGAUAGAUGAAAGGUGGCCUCUACAUGUAAGCUAUCACUGAAGGAGGGGAUUGCGUCUGAUUAGCUAGUUGGAGGGGUAACGGCCCACCAAGGCGAUGAUCAGUAGCCGGUCUGAGAGGAUGAACGGCCACAUUGGGACUGAGACACGGCCCAGACUCCUACGGGAGGCAGCAGUGGGGAAUCUUCCGCAAUGGACGAAAGUCUGACGGAGCAACGCCGCGUGAGCGAGGACGGCCUUCGGGUUGUAAAGCUCUGUUAAUCGGGACGAAAGGCCUUCUUGCGAAUAGUGAGAAGGAUUGACGGUACCGGAAUAGAAAGCCACGGCUAACUACGUG